rnacentral:rRNA from 1 species
UGUCUUAGCUUGCUAAGGCUGAUGGCGACCGGCGCACGGGUGAGUAACACGUAUCCAACCUGCCGUCUACUCUUGGCCAGCCUUCUGAAAGGAAGAUUAAUCCAGGAUGGCAUCAUGAGUUCACAUGUCCGCAUGAUUAAAGGUAUUUUCCGGUAGACGAUGGGGAUGCGUUCCAUUAGAUAGUAGGCGGGGUAACGGCCCACCUAGUCAACGAUGGAUAGGGGUUCUGAGAGGAAGGUCCCCCACAUUGGAACUGAGACACGGUCCAAACUCCUACGGGAGGCAGCAGUGAGGAAUAUUGGUCAAUGGGCGAUGGCCUGAACCAGCCAAGUAGCGUGAAGGAUGACUGCCCUAUGGGUUGUAAACUUCUUUUAUAAAGGAAUAAAGUCGGGUAUGCAUACCCGUUUGCAUGUACUUUAUGAAUAAGGAUCGGCUAACUCCGUGCCAGCAGCCGCGGUAAUACGGAGGAUCCGAGCGUUAUCCGGAUUUAUUGGGUUUAAAGGGAGCGUAGAUGGAUGUUUAAGUCAGUCGUGAAAGUUUGCGGCUCAACCGUAAAAUUGCAGUUGAUACUGGAUGUCUUGAGUGCAGUUGAGGCAGGCGGAAUUCGUGGUGUAGCGGUGAAAUGCUUAGAUAUCACGAAGAACUCCGAUUGCGAAAGCAGCCUGCUAAGCUGCAACUGACAUUGAGGCUCGAAAGUGUGGGUAUCAAACAGGAUUAGAUACCCUGGUAGUCCACACGGUAAACGAUGAAUACUCGCUGUUUGCGAUAUACGGCAAGCGGCCAAGCGAAAGCGU